rnacentral:lncRNA from 1 species
GCUGUCAAUAAGACGUGGACCUGCGAGCCGGGGCAAAAGGGCUUCCGGUCUGCGGGAAACUGGAGGCUAGCGGUGGGCGUGGACCGUCGAGGUGACUGGCGGUUGUCGGAUCUGCUGUUGUUUGCUGACCAGGCAGCCGUAGGUAAUGACGGAUGCCCAGACCCUGUGGGCGGAGUAAAGGAAUCAUGCACUGAUACACGCACACUCACCGAGGGGCGCGUCCGUCUGCGUGCCCCUCAUCUCGUAGCCGAAAGGAGCGCGUUCCGGGGCAGGCCUCCGGGUACUUCCCGCAGAGGACCGGGCUUUAUACUCUUUGCUCCUUUUCCUCCCCUAGUAAGUCAUAACUUAUUUUGGGAGAAGGGCAUAGUUAUUUGUCUCUCGUCUCCAUGCUACAGCACUUUAUGUGCUUUUCAUUCAAAAUCGUUCCUCGAGGACGACCAAGUAAUGUGAUUUGGGGGACAGUUUUCAUAGGAAGGGCUUUAUAAGUUUACACCAACAUAAAGAAAACUUAAAAACCUUAUAACCGCUUAUUUUUCAGAAGUAUUAUUUUUCAUUUAAUCUAAAACCAUACUUUUAGAACAUGAAACCAAGCCAAACAGAUCUUUGCAGAUUGUGCAAGCGAACUUUUUUUUUUGAAUGAAAGUGGUGCCAUCAAUGCAAAAGCAAGCCCAUAUAAGUGCCGAAAGGUACUCGUCAUAAGGAGGAGUUGCUUCCCUAUUCUGAAUUUUUAUUUAUUUUUAUUUAUUUAUUUAUUUGAGACGGAGUCUCUCUCUGUCACCCAGGCUGGAGUGCACUGGCAUGAUCUCGGCUCACUGCAACCUCUGCCUCCCGGGUUCAAGUGAUUCUUCUGCCUCAGCCUCCCCAGUAGCUGGGACUACAGGUACAUGCCACCAUGUCUGCCUACUUUUUGUAUUUUUAGUAGAGAUGGAGUUUCAUCAUAUUGGCCAGGCUGGUCUCAAACUCCUGACCUCGUGAUUCGCCCGCCUCAUCCUCCCAAAGUGCUGGGAUUACAGGCGUGAGCUGCCCCCUGAAUUUGUUUUUUUUAAGCAACUCUUUUUAAAAAGAGAGAAAAAAUAAUCUCUCUUGAGUGUAUUAGUUAUUGAGCUAUUCCAUUUGGAGGUGGCUUAACCCAAAACGUGUAUGGAUGUGGUAAGAUUACAAUGGACUUGAAUGUUCUAGAUGAAAUCUGGGCCGAGAGUAAUUGCAUAAUAGUUUUCCAAAGGACUGUCAGAUGGUAAACUCCUUUCAUUUACUUUGAACUGAUAAACGAUAAGAUGGAUUUUUGUUUUUUGACCUUUUUAUCUACAUUUACUUCUGAAAAUUGAAAAAGAAUCUGAAUUCCAACAAAAUGUUUCUAGGCAAGUAUUUGCAUGAUGCUUCUCUAACAUUUCCUAUAUCUUAGUGUUUUCUCUAAUGUUUUCUGUAGCUUUCAAAUUUCACUCCUGUAAGUUUUUACACUACCAGUAAGAAAGAUCUGGGCCAAUUAUACAGAAUGGACGAUGAUUUUUAAAAGAAUAGAGAAAGCAUUCAGAAAAGAGACAAUAAUUUGAAAAUGUUCUGACAUCAUGUAUUUCCUUAAAGCAAUACAAGUCCUGUAUGUCCAGUUCAUGUCUACUCCAACCGAGCUUUUUUCAGACACUUAGAAAUUGCCUUCAAGAAAAUCCUUAUGGAACAUUGUAACCUAGAGGGGCAUUUAUUUUCGUUUAAAUAUGUAUUAAUUGCAAGUAGUGACAGAACCUAAAAAGCAAAAACCAUAUAGCACCAGUUCCAAGGUUCCUAUAUCUAAUGCAGUUACUCCUACUGCAGUACAAGGAGGAAUAUAAAAUCCCUAGGAGAAAUACAAAAGGCCAUUGUCUUCUUUGACCAGAUUUGAGGAAAGUUUUCAUGGAAGAUGUGGUCUUUCAGUGGGCGUUGAGGGUAAAUAUGCAGAUAUGGUUAGCCUGUGCAUUCUGGUGGAAGCUCAGAGUUGGAAAAACAUGAAACAGAUUGCAGAGUCUGGCAUGUACAAAGAGGUAUGGUGAGACAUGUGAGUUCUAAACAUCAGGCUCAUGAAUUUGGACUAAAUUUUUGUUAUGGAAACAUGGAAAUCCUAAAUUAAUUGAUGCCAGAAUAUAAAUUGGUUAAGAACAUCAAGAAAUCAUAACAACUGAGUUAUUUUGAAGUUGGUGUAAUGUGGUCAAUGGAACGCUGGUGAAUGAUCCUUGAAACCUGGAUUGUAUUUUAGCACUAAGACAGUAUGCGUGUAAUCACUUGCAAUAAAUUCAUUUUUUUAGGCUUUCUUCUUUUCAUCUGUAAAAUGAGAGAUUGGUUUAGAUGAUUUCUGAGGUCUUUUUUAUAGG